rnacentral:lncRNA from 13 species
CUUGGCAGGGCUUGGGAGGGAGUGAGCCAGGAGCGCUGUGCUGCUUUUCUGGGUUUCCUUUGUGUUCCAACUAGCUGGGAAAAGGUGGUGUGGUGCACAUCUUGACACAGCAUGGAUGCAGAUGGAGGUGGGACAAAAAAAGUGGAAGGGCAGAAAACAAGCUGUGGAAAAGAAGAUCAAGGUAAAUCAGCUGUGGUAUCUGUGGAACACCAAGAGCCAUACCAUGUAAUUCUAGAAAUCAUCAGGAGUUUCCAGACAUUUCAAAAUGCCAGUAGUCUCCAGCAUUUG